rnacentral:rRNA from 1 species
AUGGCGUCGUCGUCGUCGUCGACGUCGCGCGUGUCGACGGCGCGGCGGCCGCUGCGGUGUCUCCCCGCGGGGCGCGCCGCCAAUGGAGCCGCGGCGGCGGCGGUGCUGGGGCUGCCGAGGAGGGAGGCGCGGGUGACUCUGCGGGCGGGCGCUCGGCGGAGCAUCGCGGCCGCGGCGUGGGCGGAGGCGGGUGUCGCGCCGUGGAGCAGGGGGAGCGGCAGGGGGAAGGAGGCGGCGACGGCGUGCGCGGCGGCGGGCCAGGUGGCGGGGACGAGCGCCGCCGGGGCCGGGGUGGGGGGCAGGAGCAUCGGGACGGACGUGGCCCUCGCCACGGCCGCCGUGGUCGCCACGGGCACGGCGAACCGCGUCCUCUACAAGCUCGCCCUCGUGCCGCUCCGCCAGUACCCCUUCUUCCUCGCGCAGUUCGCCACGUUCGGCUAUGUGGUUGUCUACUUCUCAAUCCUGUUUUUUCGUUAUCAAGCUGGCCAUGUGACGGAUGAGAUGCUUUCUCUACCACAGAAACCUUUUAUACUCAUAGGCCUCUUGGAGGCUCUAGCAGCAGCAGCAGGGAUGUCUGCUGGAGCUAUUCUUUCUGGUGCUUCAAUACCAAUAUUAUCACAGACCUAUCUUGUAUGGCAGCUUGUUUUGUCUGCUAUUUUCCUAAAGAGGCGCUAUAGACUUAAUGAGAUAACAGGAUGCUUUCUAGUGACAGUUGGUGUGGUAAUAACUGUAGCAAGUGGAACUGGUGCUGGUGCUUCACUACAAAGUACUGGAAUUUUGUGGCCACUGCUAAUGAUAAUAUCAUUCUUUCUGCAAGCUGCUGACACUGUAUUGAAGGAGAUAAUAUUUAUAGAUGCUGCCAAGAAUUUGAAGGGUGGCUCAGUUGAUCUUUUUGUUGUCAACUCGUAUGGCUCUGCUUAUCAAGCUAUUUUUAUGUGUCUCUUGCUUCCAUUCUUGUCAAAGUUAUGGGGUAUUCCAUUCCAUCUACUACCAACAUACAUCAGAGAUGGUGCAGCCUGCUUUCUAAAUAUGGGAUCAUUAUCUGCUGGCUGUGAAGGGGCACCACUGCUACCGCUACUAUUUGUGUUGGUUAAUAUGGGAUUCAAUAUAUCUUUGCUACACCUGCUGAAGAUUUCUUCGGCUGUUGCAUCUUGUCUAGCCUCUACAUUCUCAGUCCCGCUGUCGAUCUACGCUUUCACCCUACCGCUGCCGUACAUCGGUGUGGCGUCGACCCUCCCUCCUGGCUUUGUUGCAGGCGCUGCAGUUCUCAUCGCCGGCUUACUAAUGCAUGGCCUUCCGCAGCCAGAAAAUUGCGGGGAAAGCCAGGAAUGA